rnacentral:rRNA from 1 species
GACGAACGCUGGCGGCGUGCUUAACACAUGCAAGUCGAACGGAAAGGCCCUGCUUUUGUGGGGUGCUCGAGUGGCGAACGGGUGAGUAACACGUGAGUAACCUGCCCUUGACUUUGGGAUAACUUCAGGAAACUGGGGCUAAUACCGGAUAGGAGCUCCUGCUGCAUGGUGGGGGUUGGAAAGUUUCGGCGGUUGGGGAUGGACUCGCGGCUUAUCAGCUUGUUGGUGGGGUAGUGGCUUACCAAGGCUUUGACGGGUAGCCGGCCUGAGAGGGUGACCGGCCACAUUGGGACUGAGAGACGGCCCAGACUCCUACGGGAGGCAGCGGUGGGGAAUAUUGCACAAAGGGCGGAAGCCUGAUGCAGCAACGCCGCGUGCGGGAUGACGGCCUUCGGGUGGUAAACAGCUUUCGCCUGUGACGAAGCGUGAGGGACGGUAAUGGGUAAAGAAACACCGGCUAACUACGU